AGUGAACGCUGGCGGUAGGCCUAACACAUGCAAGUCGAACGGCAGCACAGUAAGAGCUUGCUCUUACGGGUGGCGAGUGGCGGACGGGUGAGGAAUACAUCGGAAUCUACUUUUUCGUGGGGGAUAACGUAGGGAAACUUACGCUAAUACCGCAUACGACCUACGGGUGAAAGCAGGGGAUCUUCGGACCUUGCGCGAUUGAAUGAGCCGAUGUCGGAUUAGCUAGUUGGCGGGGUAAAGGCCCACCAAGGCGACGAUCCGUAGCUGGUCUGAGAGGAUGAUCAGACACACUGGCACUGAGACACGGUCCAGACUCCUACGGGAGGCAGCAGUGGGGAAUAUUGGACAAUGGGCGCAAGCCUGAUCCAGCCAUACCGCGUGGGUGAAGAAGGCCUUCGGGUUGUAAAGCCCUUUUGUUGGGAAAGAAAAGCAGCAGGUUAAUACCCCGCUGUUCUGACGGUACCCAAAGAAUAAGCACCGGCUAACUUCGUG
rnacentral:rRNA from 1 species